AGAGUUUGAUCCUGGCUCAGAGCGAACGCUGGCGGCGUGCUUAACACAUGCAAGUCGAACGGGUGUAGCAAUACACCCGUGGCGGACGGGUGCGUAACACGUGGAUAACCUUCCUUCAGGUGGGGAAUAACCCCGUGAAAACGGGGCUAAUACCGCAUAACAUCGCGAUGAGACAUCUUGUUGCGAUCAAAGGAGCAAUU
rnacentral:rRNA from 1 species